GUCCUAGUGCAGUCAGAGGGGAAGAGCCAGGGCCAAAGGAAACCAGUACACCUGUAGCAAGCAACUGGGAGAGCGUCAGGGAGAGUGGCAGUGAAGUGAAGAUAUUUAUUCAGGUGCUCAGGCAGAAGUGAAGAAACAACAGCCACUGGCAUUGCACGUGCAUUGUGGGCCUCACUGCCUGAACUUAAUUACACAGGCUGCAUGUCAGGCUAGUUCUGUAAUAUGUGAUGCUUUAGAGUGGGUACAUGAUCUGGGGUCAUUAUGCAAACAGUCUGGAAGAUUCAAAGCUAUGUUUUCAGCAGUUGCAGCAGAUUCAGAGGGACCA